rnacentral:rRNA from 1 species
GGUCUCCUACGGGGGGCAGCAGUCGGGAAUAUUGCACAAUGGAGGAAACUCUGAUGCAGUGACACCGCGUAUAGGAAGAAGGUUUUCGGAUUGUAAACUAUUUUAGACAGGGAAGAAAAAAGACAGUACCUGUAGAAUAAGCUCCGGCUAACUACGUGCCAGCAGCCGCGGUAAUACGGAGGAUCCGAGCGUUAUCCGGAUUUAUUGGGUUUAAAGGGAGCGUAGAUGGGUUGUUAAGUCAGUUGUGAAAGUUUGCGGCUCAACCGUAAAAUUGCAAUUGAUACUGGCAGCCUUGAGUACAGUUG